GAUGAGCGCUGGCGGCGUGCCUAAUACAUGCAAGUCGAACGAAGAUCUAGCUUGCUAGAUCUUAGUGGCGAACGGGUGAGUAAUACAUAAAUAAUCUGCCCAUAUGACUGGGAUAACUAUUGGAAACGAUAGCUAAUACCGGAUAGGUUGAUUGGAGGCAUCUCUGAUUAAUUAGAGUAGGAUUUCUACACAAAUGGAUGAGUUUAUGGCGCAUUAGUUAGUUGGUGGGGUAACGGCCUACCAAGACGAUGAUGCGUAGCCGACCUGAGAGGGUGACCGGCCACAGUGGGACUGAGACACGGCCCAGACUCCUACGGGAGUCAGCAGUAGGGAAUUUUCGGCAAUGGGCGCAAGCCUGACCGAGCAACGCCGCGUGAGUGAUUAAGGCCUUCGGGUUGUAAAGCUCUGUUGUAAGGGAAGAACAUUCAGGAUAGGAAAUGACCUUGAACUGACGGUACCUUACCAGAAAGCCACGGCUAACUACGUGCCAGCAGCCGCCGUAA
rnacentral:rRNA from 1 species